rnacentral:rRNA from 1 species
AUUGAACGCUGGCGGCAGGCCUAACACAUGCAAGUCGAGCGGAGCGGCGGACGGGUGAGUAAUGCCUAGGAAUCUGCCUGGUAGUGGGGGAUAACGUCCGGCAACGGGAGCUAAUACCGCAUACUAUCAGAUGAGCCUAGGUCGGUUUCGCUCGUUGGUGGGGUAAAGGCCUACCAAGGCGACGAUCCCUAGCUGGUCUGAGAGGAUGACCAGCCACACUGGAACUGAGACACGGUCCAGACUCCUACGGGAGGCAGCAGUGGGGAAUAUGGCACAAUGGGCGCAAGCCGGAUGCAGCCAUGCCGCGUGUAUGAAGAAGGCCUUCGGGUUGUAAAGUACUUUCAGCGAGGAGGCGUUACGCGCAGAAGAAGCACCGGCUAACUCCGUGCCAGCAGCCGCGGUAAUUC